AUUGAGUACAAAUAGGUAUAUAAUGAUUCCUACCUAUAGAGCUAACAUCAGGAGUCAAGUUCAUGGUAAGAUGUGUGUGCUCAGUAGGCUCUGGCUAGGUAGGUGGUGUGUGGACUCGUGGCGAUUGAGAGGAAGGUAGUGGAGCAGGAGGUGUGACUUCUGUUGGUGUUGGAUCUAGAAAAGCUGAUGGAAUAUGGGCAGAA
rnacentral:lncRNA from 1 species